UUGUUGCUAAAUUCUGUCAUGUCCCUUUCCUUUGGAUAACAUGGACAUGUGCUGCUUGUUUUCUUGUGAUAAUGCUGAUCCAAUUGACUAGCCCAACUCUUAUGCUCUGACAUUUGUUAAUUCCCUGUUAGUUUGCCUGAAAAUUUAUUGUUUGUCAUGUUUAAUUUUGUGGCAUCAACUCGGUAUUGUGAUUAAUGACCUAGUAUUUUUUUAGUGUAGACAGUUGACUUCUUUUUUCUAAUUUUUAGUGAUAUGCGUGUUUUGUUAUGUCUUAUGUGGAUAUCAUAUUCUUUUUUUGUAUUACUAAUGUCCAGUCAAUGGAAAAUGCUUUUCUUGCUUUGCCUAGACUUUGUGACAGUUAACUUAUAGUGUGCGGUCAUUGAUCAUUGAGCUUCUGACACCCUAUUCCAUAAAAUUUUGUAGUAAUGUUUGCUGGAUCAUUGAGUAGUUAAUAUUGAUUCUAAGUUUGGUGGAUCAUUCAACUUCUGCGUGCACUUCGGUUAUCUGAGAGACACUCACGAUCCUGUGUUUCGUGUUCGUGGCGGUGCGAUGAACGAUUACAUUUCGUGUUUCUGUGUUUCAUGUUCGCCAUUAGGUUUUGAAUUUGGAUUACGGAGAUGGAGAGAGGCCAAAGCAUGGUCAGUUUAUCGUGUUCAUUCAGAUCGGUUUCUCGGUUCCGUCGCUGCAUUGUUCGUCGGCGAUUUCCAGACCUCAAACGCAUGUGCCCUUGUGAUACUCUGGUUUGGCUCGCUGGUCGUUAUGGUUGUUCGUUACGGUUGUUCUUAUGUUCUUGAAUUACCCUUCUUAUAAGCAGAGAUGGGGUGAUUCACUAUGGUCGUUCUGAUGGUUGCUUGUUUAGUGUUCUUUCCAAUUGGGUUCUUCUUGCCAUGCUUUGCUUAUGUUCCCAAUGUCUGUCUUUCCAUAUAUGGGGAUGCAUCCUGGGUGCAAACCGUGUAGGCGUGUGUUUUAUACUAGCUAUGGUGUGUUUUAUACUAUCUGAUGAGGAAGGUGGAAAUAUUGAUAUCACUUCUGUGUUAGUAUACUUGAUAUGGUGUGUUUUAUUCAAGUUAUUAACCAUGUCUUUUACAAAUUUUCCUUGAGAUACAUGUUUAUAUGGCAGGAGUGAUUGUCUUGACGACUAAUCAUUUAUGCUAACUUGGUAUUGGUAGUGCCUGAUCAUAGGUAACAGACCAGUACUUGUUUAGUGCAGACAACUGACUAUUCUUUUUUCUGAACUUUUUUGUGAUAUGUGUGUUAUGUGGAUAUCAUAUUCUAAUGCUUUUCUAAGUAUUUAAGGUACAGACUUGCGGAUCUGGACAUGUCACAUUUGCUCUUUAUUGUGUUGCUAAGGACACUUAACGGCUUGGCUGGGCCACUGCACGGCCUGGCUAAUCAGGUACACUUGAUUUUAUGUGUAGUUGAUGUUCUCUGCCACAUCAUGCUCAACUUGUACUUGCCAAAUGGAUCUCCUGGAACAAAUUGUUCGUAAUAAAUGAACAAAUUGCAGAACUUGUGGCUGUGCUAUUUACCCACUUGCUUUUGCACAUGAUGUUAAGAAGAAGAAAAGCAUACACCCUGUUAUUUUAAAAUGCUGCGUUUACUGUUUUGAUGUGCAUAAACUGAGAAUAGUCACCACUAGUUGGAGGCACGUGCUUUGCACGUGUGCGUUCUUAACUAAAAAUUUCAUACAAGCAGGAAAAUUUUAUAUAUAAACAAAGCACUUUUUAUAUGGAGUUUUAGCUUCGCAGCCUCUUGCCAAUUUACAUUGUUCAUGAACAAAUUUGAUUUUCUUAUAUUUCGAGAACAUGUAAAGAGUAAUUUUGGUUAACACUUACAAAUGUAAAGUUUCCCGCGAAAAAGGCAAACUUGCAAUUAAUAUUCUCAAAACGGUAAGUUACAUCAUGGGAUUAACUUUUAUUCAAAAAAUAAUCAGAUUCAGAAACUGAACACAUGGUCUAUCUGUGGAUUAGAUUAGAAUUAGUAAUCUAUCUAUGGAUGGGGCAUGUCCCAGGCGCAUCAGAUUAGAAUUGUAAUCUAUCUAUGGAUGGGGCAUGUCCCUCCUUUGCUGAGUUGGCUUGUGAUGGUUUUGUAAUUGAUUCCGUAUGAGUAAAGCAAAAUGGUCUGUGGCUCUGUGCUCCCGUCUGUUGACCGGAUGUUUCUGUUGUAUGUUAAAACUAAAAAAUGUCUCUAUAUUUCAUAUACAUGUGAAGCCCAAUGCAUCUGUAUCAUAAAGAAUGAUAUGUGCUCACUUAUGUUGCUGGAUUUCUGCUAUAUGCAAUUACUGAAAAAGGAAUGGUACAUCUAUAAGAUUUAAGUAUUGUAUAUGCUACAAUAAUAGCCCUGCAAAUACAUUAGACCCUCAUCAUCCACAUCAUCGUACUCAAUGGUGUCUUCACUAUUUGCUAGGUAUUCUGUUGACAAGUUAUCUAUAGUUGUAAAUAGAUGAAAUACUUGUAUGUGCAACAAAUUAAAUCAUUGUAAUUAUGACUAAAAUUAUCAUGAAUGGCAGGAAAAGAAUCUUGGGGCACAUAAAUGAUAUCUUCAUGCAAAUUGUUGGUCUCUCUACCACGAUCCUGUGCAGUACUUUCUUUUCCUGACCUAUGUCUUUUAUUAUGGCCACAAAUCACUUGUACGUAUGUUUCUUCCUGAUCAUGCGAGAGUUGUGAGUGCAUGUUGGGGCAAUGAUGUCGCUUAUGCACCUACGUUUUUCAGUUCAUAUUUUGCAGCUUGAUCUUCUGAGGAUAUUGAUGAUAAAUAUAUGCCAGGUGAACUGAUGGUGAAUUGAGUUCCAGAUUUUGGAUGACUUGUGCCAGAACCACCACUAUCCGCCACUGUUUUGAAGGAAAAAGUGUCAACGACGCUGUGAUGAAAAAAAAAUUAUAGUAGAUAUUUGUUAAUUCAUUUUGUAUCACAACCUUGUUUUCCUUUUGAUGAAGACUCUAGUUGAGAAAAUACUGAAUCGUGCUUUUCAUAGUUUGAACUGGACACGACUUCCUUUCCUGUAAUGUAGGUUCAACCUUAUCCCAUCAAAAAAAUUAUACAUCAUAUAUAAGGAGGUAAACAAACAUUCAACGGUCAUUGAUAAUAUGAGAAAUGAAUUUGCUUUAUUUAUAAAGCAGGCGAAAGCCUUUUUCGGUAAUAUGAGAAAUGAAUAUUUCAUCGAUUAGAAAAGUUACAUGUCAUGCACAUGUUCUUAUUAGCCCUUGUAUUUUUCUGCUGUGGUGCUGGUUGUGUAUUGCUACAAAUUGCACUGCACUCACGCCUUAUCCUUUUGUACUCACGAUUCCUUUGCAAAUAGCCUUUCCUCUGGGAAGAACUCAUUUGCGUAGAAUUUUUGUUUUCACCUAAGGGAUCAUUCUGCUCUCCAAUGACAACUACUAUUUCCCCACCAAAGAAAACAAACAAAAAACACAUAGUAUAUCAAGGCAACGGAUCGAUAAGGAUAAUAAUUAUAUAUCAAGAUAAUAAAGAAACAUACAGCGGCUCCCUUUUGGUGAAGUCACGUCUAGUGAACAUUUGUAAUAUCUCUAAAUGGAACUCGGCCUUCUAUCUUGUCGAUUUUACUUGAUUUUUAUAAGCCAG
rnacentral:lncRNA from 1 species